rnacentral:rRNA from 1 species
GACGAACGCUGGCGGCGUGCUUAACACAUGCAAGUCGAACGGAAAGGCCCAGCUUGCUGGGUGCUCGAGUGGCGAACGGGUGAGUAACACGUGGGUGAUCUGCCUCUAACUUCGGGAUAAGCUUGGGAAACUGGGUCUAAUACCGGAUAGGACAAUCGUUUAGUGUCGGUUGUGGAAAGUUUUUUCGGUUAGGGAUGAGCCCGCGGCCUAUCAGCUUGUUGGUGGGGUAAUGGCCUACCAAGGCGUCGACGGGUAGCCGGCCUGAGAGGGUGGACGGCCACAUUGGGACUGAGAUACGGCCCAGACUCCUACGGGGGGCAGCAGUGGGGAAUAUUGCACAAUGGGCGCAAGCCUGAUGCAGCGACGCCGCGUGGGGGAUGACGGCCUUCGGGUUGUAAACCUCUUUCGACAGGGACGAAGCUUUGGUGACGGUACCUGUAGAAGAAGCACCGGCUAACUACGUG